UUUCACCUUUGAGCAGGUCUGUUCUCUGGUUUCUAACACCACCCAUGAUCAAAGAUCACAAGAGGGAGAGGCAGGCAUCAAGAGGCUAGCCUGAAGGGAGAGGCCUAGACACAGGAUCUACCAGGUGGUAGCUCUUUUCUACCUAAGAAGGAGAGGAUAGAGUAUCCACCUCCCCCAGAGGAUAGAGUAUCCACCUUCCCCAGACAGGGCACAUUCUCUCCCAAGAAGAAAACAACUCCCUUCCCAUAAACACAUAGAAGAGAAGUGGAUACUAAGUCACCCUCUCCUAGAAAGGAAGAAAGUAUAUCGUACCCAUUUUGAGGUAUCUGAACCUAAUUAUAUAGUCUUGAGAAGAAAGAUACUUCUAUCAGACAAAGCCUUGACCAUCACCCCAACUCCAACACAUACAGUGGGACCAUUAUAUAGAACACAGCUUAUCUCUAUUUCCCCCAAUAAAUUCUUGUCUCUAUCCCAGUUUACAUUUCUGAUUCCUGGGGAAUUCAACUUAAGGUAGAUGCAUUGUCACCCUCCCCCAAAGGAUUCACUCUCCCAAGUAAUGUCCUCUUCUUCCUAGGCUCAUAUUGGUCAAUACUCCUGAGACUGCUUUAGGGAUGCUUCCUUUUUCCCCUCAAGUUUCAUACACCAUCUCUGCUUGAAUCUCUGGGGCCAGACUUGCUCCCUUGCUUUUUGUUGGAAACAUGUAUGAAGAGACACAGACAUCCUUCUACAGAGUAGGUAGCUGAUGUUGAUCCAGAUUCAAGUCAGAGUUAUUUGCAUGUAACACAGAGAUGCAGCUUAGUGUCUUUUUUAAUACCUUCCUCUGUCUUCAAGGAAAAUGACCCCAGGCCAUUACUAGCAGUUACUUGAUCCUAGACUUGUAAGUGAUAUACUUGUAAUAUUUACUGAUUAGCACCCUCCUCCUAUCAUAAAGACUGAAUCUCCAUAUCCCUGUCAUAGACAUGGACUUAGUUGUGUUACCAUGUUAACACCCCAUGUCACAUCACCAGUACCAACUCCCUGUAUUCCUAUCACAUAGUCCAUUCUCCCCUCUUCUGUUUCCUCCAGGUAUAAUGAAGACCAUCAGACCAUGGGAGUCUAUUUUCUCACCUUUUUCAGUUUCCUUCCUCUUAUUCCAGAUGCCCACAUUGACCUCAGGUCAGGAAGAGAUGAUGUCAAUGGAUCCUGAGGUGGGAAAGAUGAUGAGGGACAUCAUUAACUUCUGGAUGAUAUCAUAAGUAUUUAGUACAUAUAUUUUGCUCACUGACUCAGGUAAGUAUGAGAAAAAUAAAGGCAGGAAUUCAUCUUGAGCCCCAUUGGCCAAUUUGAGUAGGAAAGGUACAAGGAUAUGAAUACUCACUGCCUCCCCCUUUCCCUAAUCCAUUUAACACAACAAUAGCAACAGUAGGCCCAGUAAUAAACAAUCUUUGGGGUUUUCUAGUGUGCUUAGCUCAUAAACUAAUAAAUAUAGAAAAUUACAGGAGCACAAGAUAUAUCACAAUCCCAGAAUUCUCUUUGCUCAGGGGUCUAUGGCUGGAGCUAAGGAAUUCUCCCUGAGUCCCUGGAACCUCCCACUAACAUCUAUCCUUGAGCUUGGUUGUCUUUCCUCCUCUGGAAUGUUGCCUGUAUGAGAAAAAAAUGGGUGCAAAGAAGUGGUAAUGAGCUGUCUUUGGAGACCAUGAGAUCAUAGGAGAUUCACAUCUCUCCACUUCAGUACCUUCUCUCCUCAGCAGGAGAGUUGGGCUAGUGGUCAUCUUCUAUGAGACAGAUUUAGUUGGAGAAAACUCCUGCUCCCAGUCCUUUUGCUAGAAUUAACACUUCAAAGGAUGGGGGAAAGUCUGAGUAGGUAUGUCCUUGACCUUUAGUGUCCUCUUGCAGAUAUUAAGAAACAUGCCUUUGCGUGGCAGAUGAAUGGGAUCCUGGCAGUGACAGGCUCACUGGAAGUGGGUGUUUGUAUUUGUUAUUUGUGGACAAGACACAGGUGCUCAGGUAAUGGUUACUGGGGGGAGAAAUUGAGGGAUGGUAAUUGUACAAUAUUAAAGGACAGUCUUCGUGAAAUACUCGCUUUCUACAUUCUGUUCCUACUCCAACCUCUGGACAGUUCUGAUCCCAAGUUCUGAUCCUUUCAAAGGCGGGUGUAAGUCAAUCCAGGUUCCCAUCACAGCAUGUGGAUUUUUCUUCUUCAUAUAUAUUGUGGUCCAGAGAUCUCUUGAAGAAUUUGGGAUGGGGAAAGGUGAGGGUUCAUGAGGAUGGAACAGAUUGUAUGUAACAGUGUGUUAGGUAAUUCAGAGGUAGUGGAGAAAUCCAGCUGUGGGCUGUCACUGGGAAUGAAGGAAGAGACAAAUGAUUCCAGCCAUCCUAGAGGUCAGCACU
ensembl:lncRNA